AGAGUUUGAUCAUGGCUCAGAAUCAACGCUGGCGGCGUGCCUCAGACAUGCAAGUCGAACGAUUAAAGCUCCCUUCGGGGAGUGCAUAAAGUGGCGCACGGGUGAGUAACACGUAAGUAAUCUACCUUCGAGUGGGGAAUAACGUCCGGAAACGGACGCUAAUACCGCAUAAUGCAGCGGCACCUAAUGGUGACAGUUGUUAAAGAUUUUAUCGCUUGAAGAGGAGCUUGCGGCAGAUUAGCUAGUUGGUAAGGUAAUGGCUUACCAAGGCUACGAUCUGUAACCGGUCUAAGAGGACGGUCGGUCACACUGACACUGAAUAACGGGUCAGACUCCUACGGGAGGCAGCAGUCGGGAAUUUUGGGGCAAUGGGCGAAAGCCUGACCCAGCAACGCCGCGUGAAGGAUGAAGUAUUUCGGUAUGUAAACUUCGAAAGAAUAGGAAGAAUUAAUGACGGUACUAUUUAUAAGGUCCGGCUAACUACGUGCCAGCAGCCGCGGUAAUACGUAGGGACCAAGCGUUGUUCGGAUUUACUGGGCGUAAAGGGCGCGUAGGCGGCAUAUUAAGUCAGCUGUGAGAUCUCCGAGCUUAACUCGGAACUGUCAGCUGAUACUGGAUGUGCUAGAGUGCAGAAGGGGCAAUCGGAAUUCUUGGUGUAGCGGUGAAAUGCGUAGAUAUCAAGAGGAACACCUGAGGUGAAGACGGGUUGCUGGGCUGACACUGACGCUGAUAGCGCGAAAGCCAGGGGAGCAAACGGGAUUAGAUACCCCGGUAGUCCUGGCCCUAAACGAUGAAUACUUGGUGUCUGGAGUUAUUAGUGCUCCGGGUGCCGUCGCUAACGUUUUUAGUAUUCCGCCUGGGGAGUACGCUCGCAAGAGUGAAACUCAAAGGAAUUGACGG
rnacentral:rRNA from 1 species